rnacentral:rRNA from 1 species
AAUCUGGCUCAGAACGAACGCUGGCGGCAGGCUUAACACAUGCAAGUCGAACGCCCCGCAAGGGGAGUGGCAGACGGGUGAGUAACGCGUGGGAAUCUACCGUACCCUACGGAAUAACGCAUGGAAACGUGUGCUAAUACCGUAUACGCCCUACGGGGGAAAGAUUUAUCGGGGUAUGAUGAGCCCGCGUUGGAUUAGCUAGUUGGUGGGGUAAAGGCCUACCAAGGCGACGAUCCAUAGCUGGUCUGAGAGGAUGAUCAGCCACAUUGGGACUGAGACACGGCCCAAACUCCUACGGGAGGCAGCAGUGGGGAAUAUUGGACAAUGGGCGCAAGCCUGAUCCAGCCAUGCCGCGUGAGUGAUGAAGGUCUUAGGAUUGUAAAGCUCUUUCACCGAUGAAGAUAAUGACGGUAGUCGAGAG